rnacentral:rRNA from 1 species
UACGGGGGGGGCAAGCGUUGUUCGGAAUUACUGGGCGUAAAGGGCUCGUAGGUGGCCAACUAAGUCAGACGUGAAAUCCCUCGGCUUAACCGGGGAACUGCGUCUGAUACUGGAUGGCUUGAGUUUGGGAGAGGGACGCGGAAUUCCAGGUGUAGAGGUGAAAUUCGUAGAUAUUCGCAAGAACACCAGUGGCGAAGGCGGCUCACUGGCCCGGUACUGACGCUGAGGUGCGAAAGCGUGGGGAGCAAACAGG